rnacentral:lncRNA from 1 species
UCUCUAUUGCUCUUGUUCUUGCAUUAUUGUUCUUGUCUUUAUAUUAUUUCAUAACAGUUUUAAAAUUUUAAUGUUAGCUAAAUUAGAAAAUAUAGUUUUAUCGAUCCAAUAAGCAUUAUAUUUUUAAAUAAUUGAAAAUCGAAUCGCUAUUUUGGAUCUUUUGUGUUUGCAGAGUUGUUAAUGUAAUUGACUUUCGCCAACCGCCCCUCUCUCUCGCACAUAUAUGUUUUAAGUUUUUUAGUUAUUUGUUUAAAUUGUUGAAUGUAGUCUUCAAAUAUUAUACAAAAAUUGAUGAACUAUUUGAGUAAAAAAAGAGUUUGAACAUAAUACAAAAAUAUAUUAUAGUUCAUUUGGUAAAUUUAAAAAAAAAAUAUGGAAGAAAAUAUUGUUAAGUUAUAUUGUUCAAUUAAAAAAUUAAUUUAUAUUAAAUAAAUUUUAAUUGAUUUUAAAGUUCAAAAUAUUAAAUUAUAAUUUUUACAUAAUUCAAAUAGGAAGGAUUGGGUUAUUUGUCAUGAUUUUGUGAAUGACCAAAUAUAAAAUCAUACUAUCUACAUUAUAAACUCAAAGACGUAAAAUCAUAAUUUAAUACAAUUGACAUAAUUCAAGAAAAAUCUAGAAAAUAUAAAAUCAUACUAUCUACAUUAUAUAACUCAAAGACAUAGGGUUAAUUAAUCUUCAUAACUUGGUGAAAAUGUGCAGUAUAAUGAAACAGAAUUUUCAGUAUAAUAGUCAUGAACGUAGAGAAAAAAGGAAAUAAAUAUAAAUUUGCAUUCUCAAUAAGAUCAAAAUAAGAAGGUGAAGUAGUAAUGUGGAACUUGACAGAUAAAUUGAAGUCACCUUUUUUAACUAUUUUAAAAUCCUCACUAUUUUGAUUUUUUUUCUAGCCCGCUGAUGUUUUGAUUUUUUCCCUUGCUUUUACUAUAAAUAUGUUGCAUUCUUCUAUAAUGAAAGAAUUUAUAUAUGGUAGAAUUUUAAUUGAUUUGAAGUCUUAAAUAUUAGGAUUUUUUAUAUAGUUAAAUAAGGAAAGAUUUGAUAAACAAUAAUUUCAAACUCCUAAAUAUAAGAAAAUAAUUUAAAUGACUAUUUUGUUUAAAGUGAAAUUUAAUUUUAAAGGAUAAAAAAGGCGAAUGAUAUUUUGCUAAAGGCAUUCGUACUUUUAAUAUAAUAUAGAUAGACUGAUUGAAUUCUUAGUAUAUGUUCACAGGGAUAAACUUCUAAAUACCAAGUGAUUACAUCCUAUUUGGUUAGUAAUUUUUGUCCUUUCCUUUUCUUGUCAUCUAUGUAAAAUUUAAGUGUUCGUACUUUUAAUAUAGUAUAGAUAGAUUGAUUGAAUUCUUAGUAUAAGUUCAAAGGGAUAAACUUCUAAAUACCAAGUGAUUACAUCCUAUUUUGUUUGUAAUUUUAGUUCUUUCCUUUUCUUGUCAUCUAUAUAAAAUUUAAGUGUAAAAAUUCAUAUAAAAUAAAAUGUUAAUAUUUUUAAAGUUUUAAAUACGAAAAGUUUUCUACGUAAUCCAAAUAAGGAAGAAUGUAAUAUAUAAAGUUUAGUUGAUUUUGUAGUUUUAAAUAUUAGGCAAAUAAUUAAAUGAGUUUUCCUACAUAUAAUGAAAAUAAUUAAAUGAGUAUUCUUACAUAUUAGAAAAAUAACUAAAUUAUUAUUUUAUCCAAUGUCCUCUAUUUUUAAAGUUUAAAAAAACAAACGCUAUUUUGUUAAGUUUGUGCUAGAUAGAGUAAAAUAAUAUAGAAUAUAGAUAUUUUGAAGUCAAUAAAGUUUGAACUUUUACGCUACCCACUUUGCGUAAUGAAUUUACUUUCCCAAUUUCCACAAACAAAAAAGAGCUGGAUUUUCCAUAUUCUUGUUUGGGUAAAAAUGUUUUUCUAGAAGUAUAUUUGUCAACCUAUUCUAAGCAAUUAGUCUAUUGUCGGUCAAUAUUUCUACCUACCAGUACUCUACCUUCAAAGAAUAUAAGCCUAUACAAAUUCUAAAGUCUAAAUAAGAAGGUAGAACUUACGGAAAAAUCUGGAAAAAAAGACUUCCUAUAGAUGAUGCAACUAAUAAAUAAGCAAACAAAACAUCUAUGUUUCAAGUAUAAUUUUAAAUUUUUUCAUAUAAUAAUGGUUAAGACUCUAAUACCAUGUUAUGUCAUCUAAUUUCUUAAACCAUUAGAAAAUGUACUCUUUUAUUUACUUGAAUAUUGACAAGAGGGGUUGCUCUGAUGGUAAGCAACCCCCACUUCCAACCGAGAGGUUAUGAGUUN